rnacentral:rRNA from 1 species
CCUACGGGAGGCAGCAGUGAGGAAUAUUGGUCAAUGGACGGAAGUCUGAACCAGCCAUGCCGCGUGCAGGAUGACGGCCCUAUGGGUUGUAAACUGCUUUUAUACAAGGAUAAACCGGAAUACGUGUAGUGAGUUGAAAGUACUGUAUGAAUAAGGAUCGGCUAACUCCGUGCCAGCAGCCGCGGUAAUACGGAGGAUCCAAGCGUUAUCCGGAUUUAUUGGGGUUAAAGGGAGCGUAGGCGGAUUGAUAAGUUUGAUGUGAAAUGUCCGGGCUUAACUCGGGCACUGCAUCGAAUACUGUCGAUCUAGAGAACAGAUGCGGUAGGCGGAAUGUAUGGUGUAGCGGUGAAAUGCUUAGAGAUCAUACAGAACCCCGAUUGCGAAGGCAGCUUACCAAUCUAUAUCUGACGUUGAUGCUCGAAAGCGUGGGGAGCAAACAGGAUUAGAUACCCCGGUAGUC